CACCGCGGUUAUACGAGAGACCCAAGUAGAUGGCCCCCGGCGUAAAGAGUGGUUAGAAAUGCUUGAAACACUAAAGCCAAAUAGCCUCAUAGCUGUUAUACGCCCAUGAGAACAAGAAGUCCAACUACGAAAGUGGCUUUACACAUUUGACCCCACGAAAGCUAAGGCA
rnacentral:rRNA from 1 species